AGGACGAACGCUGGCGGCGUGCUUAACACAUGCAAGUCGAACGGUGAAGGAGAGCUUGCUCUCCGGAUCAGUGGCGAACGGGUGAGUAACACGUGAGUAACCUGCCCUUGACUCUGGGAUAAGCGUUGGAAACGACGUCUAAUACCGGAUACGAGCUUCAGCCGCAUGGCUAGGAGCUGGAAAGAAUUUCGGUCAAGGAUGGACUCGCGGCCUAUCAGCUAGUUGGUGAGGUAAUGGCUCACCAAGGCGACGACGGGUA
rnacentral:rRNA from 1 species